AUGACGCCGACAGGACAGAUGGAGGCUCUCAGACUCAGAGAGAUGAAGAGACUUUCCCACAAAACUACUAAGUGCCAGAUCCAGAAUUUGUAUCCAUUGUCGAACCCCAAAGUCCAGGUUCCUUCCACGAUCCAGAGCUCUCUCAACAGAAGCACCUUCAGCUCAGGCUUUCACUGGGCCAUAAUGGGCUACUAUAGUUCUCCGAUGGGGGUUUUGAACACAUUACCAGCUUUUUGAAAUUAAACAUUAUCUCCAACAUUUUAUUCUUUCUUUCCUUCACUCAUUCACUUAUUCACUAAUCAAAC
rnacentral:lncRNA from 1 species